rnacentral:sRNA from 1 species
GGGAGUUUCUACCGGAAGUAUUAACUGGUGCACCUGCAUAACCCAAGCCCCCAACCACAAUUCCUAGGUCUUAAAUGUACAGACUGGGCUAGGGGGAGCUGAGGCAGGAGGAGCGCCGGGAGUUCCAGGCCAGUCUAGACCACAAAGUGACACUCUGGCUCAGAAAAUAAACAAAGCUGGGUAUUGUGACAGCUGCCUAUAAUUUUAGGGAUACAACGUUAGUUAGUCUCCAGCCUGAGCUAUGAGAGAGAAAGAGAGGGAGAUGGAGAGGGAAGGAGGGAAGGAAAGAUUAGCGGUGUAAAGUGCACUCAGGUCCCUUGGUCCACCCCCAGCACCCGAAGAAUAAAAUUUUUAAAAGACCAUUACGUGUAUGUAGCCCAGUGAUUAGGUAUUUCCUCAUGUGUGAUGUUUUUGGAACUAGCAAAUGAUGUUUACAGGAAGAGUGAUGGAGCGAGAUGCCCAAAAUCCUUCUCUGGCUUUCACACACUUUGUACAGGCAAGCACACCCAAGAUCGCAUCACACAUACAUAAUUUUGUCUUUACGGGGUUCACUAACCCUAUGCUUCCACAGUCCCUAGCCCUGCUGCUCUCUGUGAAUAGCCCCUCUUUAGGGGAAAGAUGAAGUAGGGAUUGCAUAUCUGCCCUAACUAAAAGGGGUGAAGGAGCCGGUUGUAAUGGCACACACUUUUAAUUCCAGCAUUGGGGAGGCAAAGGCAGGCAGAUCUGAGUUUGAGGCCAGGAAAAGAAAGAAGAAAGAAAGAAAGAAAAGGCGCGCGGGAGUUGGCGGGGAUGGGGUGAGGAGGUGGGGGUGAGACAAAGGUCCAAAAGGAGAGGAGGUGCUGAUUCCCCGAACUAGAAAGGACUAAAAAAAAUUUUUUUUCUUUUUGAUCUUUUGAGAAAGGACCUUCAGUACCCCAGACUGGCUUUGAACUCCCUAUGUCACGGAGGGUAUCUUUCCAUCUCCUAUGUGCUGGGAUUACAGGAUAAAAGCUCCACUGGACUCAGGACUUUGUCCUCGUCGCUACUGGAACAUAGUGAGCACAGAGAUGCUGGGAGCUGACCAACAUUCUCUGCUUAAUAAAAGAGGAAGCUGUGGCUCACAACCUGCUGAAACAUAGCAGGGAAAAGGGCGGUGCAAAGAGGGAAGCUAGCCCGCGGGGGCAUCGUGACCCUAGCAUCCUGGAGAUGCCUGGAGGUGUCUCAGAGCUUGGGUGGUCCCAGCCCCACGCGGAAGUCGCGGGGGCGAGGAGUUGAAUGAGCUCUGCUUAGGGCGAAAAGCCAGAGCUGAAGAACCCGAACCCCAGCCGGCAGGACCUCACAAGCUUUCCAGAAAGCCCCAGGCUUUCCCACUUCCUCUCCCAGGAUGCCUCACCGCCAAGCAGGGUGUGAACAAAGACGGCUUCUACCAGAAGCUGGAGCGGCUCACAUUGAAGCUUUUGAACCAUUGUCACGACAUGAUGGGCUUCGCGUUCUUACUUAUUCUGCACUUUUGCUAUGCACGAGUUUUCCUAUUACCCUGAUUCAGUUGCUCUUCCCUCGUUCAGACUGGACUUUUGGGUUUUGUUGGAGGAGAUUGCUUCACAGUGGAAUGACCAAAAGCAGUUUUAGUAUUUCCUUUCCUUUCCUCUUCUUUUCUUUUUAUUUCUUUCUUUUUUUAGUAUUUCCCUUCUUUUGGGCCAGUCUCCUAGGAUUUUUGUUUUGUUUUGUUUCUUUUCUUUUUUUCAGAGCUAGGCAAGCGCUCUACCACUGAGCUAAAUCCCCAACCCCAGGAUUUUUGUUUUUAAUUCAAAAAGAAUAAUAAGACGAAGCUAGGCAGAUACUUAAGUUGGUUAAGUGUCACAAAAGCUUGAGGACCUGAGUUCAAUUCCUGACGCCUAUAAAAAAAAAAAAAAAGGAAAAAACCCAAAAAACAAUAAUCUUCCUGUCAUGCGAACACUGGGGAAACACACAGUGGGUUCAUGGGUCUUGGCUAGUGAGAAUAAUUGAAUUAGUGUGCCACAGAUUCAGUGAGAGCCCCUCUCUCAAAAAAGGUAGAGAUCGAUUUAAGAACAUACUCAAUGUUGACCUUUACACACACAAGUAAAAGCUUCGAUGUGUAUUUUAUUUUGCAAGGUAGUGCAAAUCGUGGCUUAUUUUGCCCCAUAUUCAGAAAUCAAGCCAAACGGCUCCGGUUAAAUUGUGUUCCUUAUGUAGGCCUUCCCUUUUUUCUGUACGAUAUUUGCAAAAACAUGAUUUAUUUCUGGAUUUCCACUCUCUCCACAUAAACAUACCUUUUAACACCA